AGUACUGCGAAACGGUCUGGAGAGAUGCAAGCGACCUUCAGCCACGCCCCUAGGACGUUCAGAAAGGCCCCGGCAAUGGCACAAACACGGAGGCCCUUCUUGUUGAGUAAGAAAGUGGAUGGAAAUAUGAGUGGAAUGUAGGCCAACAUGUAGAUCAUGGAUAGCCAGUCCACAGUUGUCUCCCUUUGGAAGCGGUCCUCGGGGAGACUCGCGUUGUAGUAUUUGGUGAUGAUGUUGGCGAUGAUGUUUAAAUGAAUCCACUGGUAGGCAUUACUCAUGGAGUACAAACAGAACAGUGUCACUAUGAUCCAGCGGCGCUUGUAAACUUUCGUUGUAGGGGAACUCUCGGUCAAUUUGGGGGCCCAUCCUUCUGGGGACUCCUUACUCUGGACCAGUAUGGGCUGUCCCUGGGGCCCGGUGUCCAGUUCCGGUAGACUGCGGCUGAGUGCGUUACCUGAAGCCAUAGAGAAAUUAAACAGCGCUGUAGUGACCGAACAGAAGUGUGUAUAACAGUGUAUUAACCUUAGUGAAACUGCUCAGUACAGGCUCAGCAGCAGUGGCUGAGAUUCCGCGGUGAAUACGAGAAAAGCAGAAUUGUUAUAACAACACACAGUUAUGGGUCAGUUUGUACAGAAGAUAUGAGGACUGAUAAUGCACAGAGUAAGUUCACUGAUAGGGGAUUUCUCAGUCACGUGAGAUAAAACAAAAGUUUGGACGCAAGGAAUCCCGGGCGUUUACUCAUUGCUGGACAUUAGAAGAAUUUUGAUAGAGUGACCGAUUUUAGGUAGAUAGUUAGGAUUUGUGGAAUCAUUUUGUUAACAAAAGAAGUAGCUAGGCAGAUACUAGUGGGCGUUAAUAAAUUCUUUUAAUUUCUUUUAAUUGUAUAUUUUUUCCUUAAAAUUGCAUAUGUAAAGCAAAAAUAAAUUUAUGCACAAAGUUAAAUAUUUAGACCUACAUGUACAUAUGUAUGUAUAUGCAUAUUAAUACGUGUAUAUGAUUUGUAUUAAAAUGUAACUUUUCAAUC
rnacentral:sRNA from 1 species